GUAUAGGCGUGCGCCUUGCCGUCGCGGGUGUCGGUCGGCGACCGGAUGAGCGCCGAUGUCCACCACACGGGGGCGAUCCCAGCCAACACCGCGGCGCAAGCGUCGUCGAGCGUGAGACCGUAUUCCCCGCCGCACCAGCCGUGAAGCACGGCAAGGCCCCACGGACUCGCGUGCGCCUCGGCGGCGCGCCGUACCAAAUCGACCUCGGCCCGGCGCAGGGAGACGACCGUCAUUGCCGUCGGGGACACGACGCCGUAUGAGCAUGGAAGGCGAAUGGUGAGGCGCAUCGUGUGCAGACGCCGCGCCUCCCUCACCGUCGCCGCUUGCACUGAGCAUAUGGUGGGACAUAUCACGGUGGUCGGGGGCGCUCUAUCGACUGCGCCAUAGCGACCUCCCGUGGCAAAGGUCACACGCAUCAGGUUGAGUUGAGCGUCGCCCAGAGGCUCGGUGGUGCGCUCGACCGACCGACGGUGGUGCGUGCGCGGCUGAUCCGCGCAGUAAUUGUCAUUGAUCACUUGGCCAUAGGCAAAGGCGGCAAGGAUGGCCUUGGCGUCGGUGUAGGCCACGUAGUCGUAUGUGCGUCUUGCGCCACCGCCGGUGGCGAGGUCCAUGUCGUCUUCGUGACAGUGUUGCUGUUGCUGCUGCUGCUGCUGCUGCUCUUGUGACACGACUUCCACGAGGGUGAACCCUCGAUCGUGGGCUUUUGACGCACGAUAGGGCUCCACGACGCGACCCGGCGUGGCGCACGUCGCGCCGGUGAUCAGCGCGUGGAGCGCGCCCCACGACACGACAACACCGGUGUCGCGCGAGCACGCCACGCCCAGAUGGGUCAUGUCGAACCCGGCAGGGACGGCUUCAGCACGCGUCUUGUUGGUAAACACCAACUGGAGCCGUUCGUCGGGGGAGCGCGGCGUCCACAGGGUGAUUACGCUCGAUCCGACGGCCGCGCGACAGUCGGGCACGGCCUCCAUAAUGGUGGCCAGUGCAGAGGACAUUGCCUUUCGGCGCGCGUUAUCGCUGGCCCCCACGAUAAAGAGGUCCAUGUCACCCGGCGGUACGGAACCGCACCUGGCAACGGCACGCUGUGCCGCUCGGCAAAUGUAGCGCUCGGCGUCGUCUGUCAUGCCGUCCGUAUGCUCCGCACCAACGGGCUCGUCGCCACCGCCGGCAGGCCUCUCGGCAUCAAACCGGUGGCGUGGCGCAACCAGAGACGCACGGCAUAGGGCAUAGAUCGCACAUCCGCCGGCGAGCACUACGCCUUGGGGGAGUCGGUUGAAUACGCCGAGCGCCGAUUCGGCGGUGACAUUGAAAAACACGGGACCAAACACGGGGAACCGCUUGAUCACGGCCGAGGCAAAGAGCGCCGGCGUCGCGCCGGGCAGCGCGGCGUUGGCCAGUCGGUGCUCAAAGGCGUUCACGCUCGUGGUCACGAAGCCGAGACGCUCGGCGGGCCACAAUGCCGACGCCCAGUCGCGCAUCAUGGCAAUCAAAGCGCGCACGCUGUGGCCGGCCGAUGCGCACCACAGCGCACCGCACAACGUGCCCCGGCAAUCCUGGAUCACCUGCUGUCCAAAGCGCAUGUAGGCGGUGGCACGUCCGCGUGAGGCGCGCGACCAGUCGAGGGCAAAGCGAGCCCACGGAUCGGGGAGCAAGGCGUCGGCGACGAAAUCGCGCACGGUCCCGUCGUCGUCAUCGUCGCCGUCGAUACCGCCCGGGGGCGCGAUUGGUCCGCCCAACAGGGCGUAGAGAUAGGCGACCACGGCGAUGGGAGGCAUGGCAUCCGACACGGCGACAUCCACAUCGAUAUGGACGUCGUUUGCGUGCGCCCCAAGGCGCAUCCUCUUGACCCUGCGGUCACGCGCAAACGGUGCGGUGCACGAUACCGUGUCGUCCGGCAGGCGGUCGGUGUCGCCGACGACGCGCAAGAGACCCAUGGCGUCGUGGACGGUGCGCGCACAAGUCUUCAUCACGGUGGGCGACGCGCCGACAAAGCACAGCGCACGCCACAGGAGCAAGAUGUCGCACGCCUCGGCCGGGCGACCGUCUUCCGUGAGGAUGCGCACAAACAGGCUGCACAGGCGUUCGGCCGGACACGGCGUGGCGCCCCUACGCCUGCGGCCGCGCCGCGUGGUGGCGACAAAAACGGCAUCGCGCAGCGGCGGUAUCUCGAUGGCGAUCGGCUCAGCGUCAGUUUGGGUCGACUCGCGGUAGGGUCCGUCCAGCAUGGCGGCAAAGUAGGCGCUGCCCGCGACCAGGUCGGCGCGCACGGCGGGCACCUUGAUGGUGGGUCGACGCGCCGACCCACACCCGAGCAAGUUGAUCCACACGAUAGGAUGUGAAUCGGAUGUCGCUUCCUUUGGCGUGGCAUCGUCGCUCGCACAGCGGUCGUCUCUGUCCAUGCGGCUGUCGCUUUUUUGCGCCCUUUUUUUGUUUUCCGCCAUCUGGUGACAGUGUACUUUUUGGUCGUGGGUCGAUGGAUGGGAGCGUGCGCCGCAGGAAAAAGGCCAACGGCAAAUGGCUCACCCGACCAAACAAAACAGAACAAAAACUGUCUGGUCCAAGCGGGACAGCCACAAAAGGGGGCGCCGCGAUGUUGCUGCCUAUUGCGGAUUUUUUCCUCUUU
rnacentral:lncRNA from 1 species